rnacentral:rRNA from 1 species
AUGCUUCUACUUUCUGUAUGGAGCUGGGAGCGUCUGCCUGUUGGACGCCCGAAGAGCGUCAGGUUUAAUCCUUGGUAUCAAGAUGAAGAUGACGAAUUACGGCGCCCCACUUGGGCUUACAAGUGGGAUGUGGUUUCCGAGAUGACGAACGAUAUCAAUCUCAUGUACCAGAAGUACGUUGCCGAGUUGGACACGAUUACGCCUGAGCAGGUAACGAAGUCAUUACUUCAGUCAUUUGUCAUGUUUGCCUGA